AGCUACAGCAUCAAAGCUUUGAGAAGCAAGAAGAAGCUUGGUUAGGGUUUUGGAGACA
rnacentral:sRNA from 1 species